rnacentral:lncRNA from 1 species
AAUGCGUGAGCAGGACACGACUCUGAAUUAGGGGAACAAACUGACACUGCGUGAAUAAAACACGACUGAACUAGAGACCUCACUGGGGAGUGAAGGACUCACACUGAGGAAAAGAAGAUUUCCAAAGGACAACACAUCCAUUGGAAAGACACAAGCUGACUCAAAUUAUCCACAAAGGACACUUCGGAUAAAAAUCCGGGCUCGGACCAAGGAAAAGAUUCACAAAGAACCUCCCUGCCGGGGAAAAAUUU